CAAGGGAACGCCUGCCCUCCCUCGCGUCGAUAAACACCAUCUCUUCUGGGCACCAGCUCCACAACCCAUUCAAAAGCAAGCACUAAGGAUUUCUCUGGAAGGCUCCUGUUUUUGGUGCCAUGCAGCCUCGCCACAAAACUAACCCUCACCAGCUCCCGAGUCCAGUGUCAUUUUAAGACCAGAUGUGGAAAGGAGAAGCCAGAAGGUUGCGUUUUGAGAAGCCCAAAAUGAAGCCCUCCAUUCCAGUGCAGUGAGGGGAGAGAGCCAGCGUGUAUGGGGAGCCCCUCUGCUCCCUCCUCCAGCGUUUUCCCGUCACUCUCUUUGCUCUCAGUUUGGGAGAGACUUUGGCUUCUCUAUACAGCACUGCUUUUUUGGUACAACUAGAUGAGUUUGCCCAGCCCUGAGGAUCUUCUGGUCCAUCCCCACACAGUCACAGGCUUCGGGCACAGACCGUGCCUCAGUUUACCCCUCUGUACAACAUGGGAGCAUCCCUGGGGGUCCUGAGGGCUGGUGACUGACCCUUUCUGGCUGCUGCUGCAAAAGAAAAGCUACUCUGGGAAACUGCUGCUCCUUUCCCACACCCUCCUAUGGGGAGUACGGCACCCAGCCCCAGGGGAGCGGCAGCAGGGAGCCCCGGCCAAGCCUGUGGGGACCACGCCGUUGGGAAGGGGGGAACUGCAAAAGUAGAGCCCCGAUAUAUUAUCAGCUGCAUGCAAACCCACAUCAACAGCGCAGCUGAGCCAAAGCAGCUGCUGAGCAGCAGCGACAGCGAUCUCCUUU